CCUACGGGGAGGCAGCAGUGGGGAAUAUUGGGCAAUGGAGGAAACUCUGACCCAGCGACGCCGCGUGCGGGAUGAAGGCCUUCGGGUUGUAAACCGCUUUCAGUAGGGAAGAAGCGAAAGUGACGGUACCUACAGAAGAAGCACCGGCUAACUAUGUGCCAGCAGCCGCGGUAAUACAUAGGGUGCAAGCGUUGUCCGGAAUUAUUGGGCGUAAAGAGCUCGUAGGUGGUUCGUCACGUCGGAUGUGAAAAUCUGGGGCUCAACCCCAGACCUGCAUUCGAUACGGGCGAUCUAGAGUGUGGUAGGGGAGACUGGAAUUCCUGGUGUAGCGGUGGAAUGCGCAGAUAUCAGGAGGAACACCAAUGGCGAAGGCAGGUCUCUGGGCCAUUACUGACACUGAGGAGCGAAAGCGUGGGGAGCGAACAGGAUUAGAUACCCUGGUAGUCCACGCCGUAAACGGUGGGCACUAGUUGUGGGAACCUUCCACGGUUUCUGCGACGCAGCUACGCAUAAGUAGCCCGCCGUCGGGAGGUACGAGUCGCGAAGAAUUAAACUACAAGAAGUUAGACGGCGUGAGACGUGCCGAACGGACGACGACGAGGGAGGUAGG
rnacentral:rRNA from 1 species